rnacentral:rRNA from 1 species
AUUGAACGCUGGCGGCAGGCCUACCCCAUGCAAGUCGAGCGAGCGGCGGACGGGUGAGUAAUAUCUGGGGAUCUGCCCGCUGGAGGGGGAUAACUACUGGAAACGGUAGCUAAUACCGCAUAACAUCGGCUUAACCCAUAUGGGAUUAGCUAGUAGGUGGGGUAAAGGCUCACCUAGUCGACGAUCCCUAGCUGGUCUGAGAGGAUGACCAGCCACACGGUAACUGAGAAACGGCCCAGACUCCGACGGGAGGCAGCAGUGGGGAAUAUUGCACAAUGGGCGCAAGCCUGAUGCAGCCAUGCCGCGUGUAUGAAGAAGGCCUUAGGGUUGUAAAGUACUUUCAGCGAGGAGGCGUUACCCGCAGAAGAAGCACCGGCUAACUCCGUGCCAGCAGCCGCGGUAAUAC